rnacentral:rRNA from 1 species
AGAAUCAACGCUGGCGGCGUGCCUAACACAUGCAAGUCGAACGAGAAAGUGGAGCAAUCCAUGAGUAAAGUGGCGUACGGGUGAGUAACACGUGACUAACCUACCCUCGAGUGGGGAAUAACCUCGGGAAACCGGGGCUAAUACCGCAUAAUAUCUUCGGAUCAAAUGCGUAAGCAGCUUGAGGAGGGGUCGCGGCCGAUUAGCUAGUUGGCGGGUAAUGGCCCACCAAGGCAAUGAUCGGUA